rnacentral:rRNA from 1 species
GAUGAACGCUGGCGGCGUGCCUAAUACAUGCAAGUCGAGCGAACGGACGAGAAGCUUGCUUCUCUGAUGUUAGCGGCGGACGGGUGAGUAACACGUGGAUAACCUACCUAUAAGACUGGGAUAACUUCGGGAAACCGGAGCUAAUACCGGAUAAUAUUUUGAACCGCAUGGUUCAAAAGUGAAAGACGGUCUUGCUGUCACUUAUAGAUGGAUCCGCGCUGCAUUAGCUAGUUGGUAAGGUAACGGCUUACCAAGGCAACGAUGCAUAGCCGACCUGAGAGGGUGAUCGGCCACACUGGAACUGAGACACGGUCCAGACUCCUACGGGAGGCAGCAGUAGGGAAUCUUCCGCAAAGGGCGAAAGCCUGACGGAGCAACGCCGCGUGAGUGAUGAAGGUCUUCGGAUCGUAAAACUCUGUUAUUAGGGAAGAACAUAUGAGUAAGUAACUGUGCACAUCUUGACGGUACCUAAUCAGAAAGCCACGGCUAACUACGUG